UACAGAGGUCUCAAGCGUUGUUCGGAAUUAUUGGGCGUAAAGAGCGUGUAGGCGGCCAUACAGGUCCGUUGUGAAAACUCGAGGCUCAACCUCGAGACGUCGAUGGAAACCGUAUGGCUAGAGUCCGGAAGAGGAGAGUGGAAUCCUGGUGUAGCGGUGAAAUGCGCAGAUAUCAGGAAGAACACCCGUGGCGAAGGCGGCUCUCUGGGACGGUACUGACGCUGAGACGCGAAAGCGUGGGGAGCGAACAGG
rnacentral:rRNA from 1 species